rnacentral:lncRNA from 1 species
CCCCACCCCACCCUCAAGAAAAAUUCUCCAGACAGACUAAUGAGGAGGAUUGAUGGUGCUACCACCCUUUUCACUAGGGAGGCAUCUCAGAAGCCGAGGAGACGAGAAAAAACAACAUCAACUUUUAAUCGAGAUUGCAGAUUCAGAAAAGAUUCAUAAGUGAAAUGAUUCCCUAAGGAAAUAUAAAAAGUUACUUACGGCAUUGCUAAAUUGGGCAUGCUUCAAUCAGGGGCUGUUGAGAAAUCAUUAAUAAUAUUAGCAGCUGAUAUUUAUUGAGCAGGAACAGUGUGCCCGGCACUGGGCUGGGCUUUGCACACCUCUUUCACUAGAGGACCACACCCACUCAAAGCAGGUGCUGUUAUUCUCUAGCAGGAGAGAAAGGGGCUGAGAGAGGCUCUAGCACUUGCGGGUAGCCACACCGAAGAGCUGGAGCUAGACUUGGAAGCAGGUCAGCCUGGCCCAUGGCUGUGCCCCAGCCCCAGGCGGGCAGAGCCAGGCCCUAGGGGGAGGAGGCAGUCUUGCCAGGCCUGAGGCCCAGCCUGUCCUCCCCGCGGAGCCGCCUCCUCCCCUGGGCUGCGUGACAUCUGCCCCGCUUCCCGGCCCCAGACAGCUGCCCAGAGCCACGUCAGCACUUCCAACCGGGGAGUCUGGAAACUGGCUCAGGCCCCUGAGCGAGAAGGGGACAGGGGGCUGCGGGUCCUCCGACGGGAUGGUUUUCAGAGGGUGACCCACUCAGCUGAGCAGGGAAUGGGUCGGCAUGACCUUGGGCCGAGCUUCUAUGAACCUCAGUUUCCCGUGCUCGGGUGUGUGUU